UUAUUUUUUUCCAACCUCAACAACAAUAGAAUGUCCAGGUUUAUUUUCAGGUGUUACACUAAUAAUUUUUUUAUUUUUUUCUGGGGCUGGUUCUGUAACUUUUUCGGAUCUCAAGGAAAUUUCACUCACAUUAAAGCCUUUUGGAUUAACUAUUGUUUGGCCACGUAGUUGGUUUGAUCAUUGAGCUUGUUGCAUGACAUUCAUUGAAGUGGCAAGUUGUCCAAUUUGUGUUUGCAAAGUCUGAAUACAAUAAUCU
rnacentral:lncRNA from 1 species